CACGUAGGCACCAAGCGUUGUCCGGAUUUAUUGGGCGUAAAGAGCUCGUAGGCGGUUCAGUAAGUCGGGUGUGAAAACUUUGGGCUUAACCCAAAGCGUGCAUCCGAUACUGCUGUGACUUGAGUUCGGUAGGGGAGUGGGGAAUUCCUAGUGUAGCGGUGAAAUGCGCAGAUAUUAGGAGGAACACCGGUGGCGAAGGCGCCACUCUGGGCCGAAACUGACGCUGAGGAGCGAAAGCAUGGGAUAG
rnacentral:rRNA from 1 species